AGAAAGUAUGCUUUUUAGUUUGGAAAAUUACAAGAGAUGAACAUCCAUACUCUAAUUUUAGUCUUACAAGAGAUGUGUUAUAUGUUAUUUUCAUUAUAAAUUCUAUCUUAUGUUGUUUAUCCUUGUAUAAUGCAGAUGCUAAAGAAGCUAAGCAAAAAAUUACGUGGUGAGGAUUGGAAUUGGAACAACAUAAACACAUUAUGUUUGGCAAUAGGGUCUAUAUUUGGUUCGAAGAUGGAAUAAUAGUAUAGAAAAGGUGGAAAGGAUUUGGACCAAAAGCUUCUGCAGCAAUACCUGCUAGGCUGUGUGUUUUGCUUUAAUGGGCAUUGGCAGCUCAUUUCAUGCUCAAGAAACUGUUGUGAGUGGGCAGAGGUAUAUUGAGAUGAUUUCUUUGGAGCAAUUCUUGACAACAUUUGUAGUUGAGGCCUUUAGAAUGGAAGAAUGUAUUUCACUAAUUUUUGUAUACAUUUCUUUUUUUGUAUUUAGUGAUAAAGGAAUCCGAAUUGGGC